CGUUGCAUAUCCAAUAGCGGAGGAAAAGAAACCAACAGGGAUUGCCCUAGUAACGGCGAGUGAAGCGGCAACAGCUCAAAUUUGAAAGCUGGCCUUCGGGUCCGCAUUGUAAUUUGUAGAGGAUGCUUUGGGUGAAACGCCAGUCUAAGUUCCUUGGAACAGGACGUCAUAGAGGGUGAGAAUCCCGUAUGUGACUGGAAAUGUUAACCUAUGUAAAGCUCCUUCGACGAGUCGAGUUGUUUGGGAAUGCAGCUCUAAAUGGGAGGUAAAUUUCUUCUAAAGCUAAAUAUUGGCGAGAGACCGAUAGCGCACAAGUAGAGUGAUCGAAAGAUGAAAAGCACUUUGGAAAGAGAGUUAAAAAGCACGUGAAAUUGUUGAAAGGGAAGCGCUUGCAAUCAGACUUGUUUAAACUGUUCGGCCGGUCUUCUGACCGGUUUACUCAGUUUGGACAGGCCAGCAUCAGUUUCGGCGGCCGGAUAAAGGCUCUGGGAAUGUGGCCUUCACUUCGGUGAAGGUGUUAUAGCCCAGGGUGUAAUACGGCCAGCCGGGACUGAGGUCCGCGCUCGGCUAGGAUGCUGCGUAUCAUGAAAGU
rnacentral:rRNA from 1 species